UUAAGUUAGAAAGGGCGCACGGUGAAUGCCUUGGCACUAGGAGCCGAUGAAGGACGGGACUAACACCGAUAUGCUUCGGGGAGCUGUAAGUGAGCUUUGAUCCGGAGAUUUCCGAAUGGGGAAACCCACUGUUCGUAAUGGAACAGUAUCUUUAUCUGAAUACAUAGGAUAUUGAAGGCAGACCCGGGGAACUGAAACAUCUAAGUACCCGGAGGAAGAGAAAGCAAAUGCGAUUUCCUGAGUAGCGGCGAGCGAAACGGAAUUAGCCCAAACCAAGAGGCUUGCCUCUUGGGGUUGUAGGACACUCUAUACGGAGUUACAAAGGAACGAAGUAAAUGAAGCGACCUGGAAAGGUCCGUCGAAGAAGGUAACAACCCUGUAGUUGAAACUUCGUUCCCUCUUGAGUGGAUCCUGAGUACGGCGGAACACGUGAAAUUCCGUCGGAAGCUGGGAGGACCAUCUCCCAAGGCUAAAUACUACCUAGUGACCGAUAGUGAACCAGUACCGUGAGGGAAAGGUGAAAAGCACCCCGGAAGGGGAGUGAAAGAGAUCCUGAAACCGUGUGCCUACAAGUAGUCAGAGCCCGUUAACGGGUGAUGGCGUGCCUUUUGUAGAAUGAACCGGCGAGUUACGAUCCCAUGCAAGGUUAAGCUGAUAAGGCGGAGCCGUAGCGAAAGCGAGUCUGAAUAGGGCGUUUAGUAUGUGGUUGUAGACCCGAAACCAGGUGAUCUACCCAUGUCCAGGGUGAAGUUCAGGUAACACUGAAUGGAGGCCCGAACCCACGCACGUUGAAAAGUGCGGGGAUGAGGUGUGGGUAGCGGAGAAAUUCCAAUCGAACCUGGAGAUAGCUGGUUCUCUCCGAAAUAGCUUUAGGGCUAGCCUCAUGUUGUGAGAGUCUUGGAGGUAGAGCACUGAUUGGACUAGGGGCCCCCAACGGGUUACCGAAUUCAGUCAAACUCCGAAUGCCAAAGACUUAUCCAUGGGAGUCAGACUGCGAGUGAUAAGAUCCGUAGUCAAAAGGGAAACAGCCCAGACCACCAGCUAAGGUCCCCAAGUAUACGUUAAGUGGAAAAGGAUGUGGAGUUGCUUAGACAACCAGGAUGUUGGCUUAGAAGCAGCCACCAUUUAAAGAGUGCGUAAUAGCUCACUGGUCGAGUGACUCUGCGCCGAAAAUGUACCGGGGCUAAACGUAUCACCGAAGCUGUGGAUUGACAUCUUUGAUGUCAGUGGUAGGAGAGCGUUCUAAGUGCAGCGAAGUCAGACCGUAAGGACUGGUGGAGCGCUUAGAAGUGAGAAUGCCGGUAUGAGUAGCGAAAGACAAGUGAGAAUCUUGUCCACCGAAUGCCUAAGGUUUCCUGAGGAAGGCUCGUCCGCUCAGGGUUAGUCGGGACCUAAGCCGAGGCUGAAAAGCGUAGGCGAUGGCCAACAGGUUGAUAUUCCUGUACCACCUCCCCGCCGUUUGAGUAAUGGGGGGACGCAGUAGGAUAGGGUAAGCGCGCUGCUGGAUAUGCGCGUUCAAGCAGUUAGGCUGAUGAGUAGGCAAAUCCGCUCAUCAUAAAGGCUGAGCUGUGAUGACGAGGGAAUUAUAGUACCGAAGUUCCUGAUUCCACACUGCCAAGAAAAGCCUCUAGCGAGGCGGGAGGUGCCCGUACCGCAAACCGACACAGGUAGGCGAGGAGAGAAUCCUAAGGUGAUCGAGAGAACUCUCGUUAAGGAACUCGGCAAAAUGACCCCGUAACUUCGGGAGAAGGGGUGCUCUGGUAGGGUGUAUAGCCCGAGAGAGCCGCAGUGAAUAGGCCCAGGCGACUGUUUAGCAAAAACACAGGUCUCUGCGAAGCCGCAAGGCGAAGUAUAGGGGCUGACGCCUGCCCGGUGCUGGAAGGUUAAGAGGAGGGGUUAUCCUUUGGGAGAAGCUCUGAAUCGAAGCCCCAGUAAACGGCGGCCGUAACUAUAACGGUCCUAAGGUAGCGAAAUUCCUUGUCGGGUAAGUUCCGACCCGCACGAAAGGCGUAACGAUCUGGGCACUGUCUCAACGAGAGACUCGGUGAAAUUAUAGUACCUGUGAAGAUGCAGGUUACCCGCGACAGGACGGAAAGACCCCGUGGAGCUUUACUGUAGCCUGAUAUUGAAUUUUGGUACAGCUUGUACAGGAUAGGUAGGAGCCUGAGAAGCCGGAGCGCUAGCUUCGGUGGAGGCGUCGGUGGGAUACUACCCUGGCUGUAUUGAAAUUCUAACCCGCGGCCCUGAUCGGGCCGGGAGACAGUGUCAGGUGGGCAGUUUGACUGGGGCGGUCGCCUCCUAAAAUGUAACGGAGGCGCCCAAAGGUUCCCUCAGAAUGGUUGGAAAUCAUUCGUAGAGUGUAAAGGCACAAGGGAGCUUGACUGCGAGACCUACAAGUCGAGCAGGGACGAAAGUCGGGCUUAGUGAUCCGGUGGUUCCGCAUGGAAGGGCCAUCGCUCAACGGAUAAAAGCUACCCCGGGGAUAACAGGCUUAUCUCCCCCAAGAGUCCACAUCGACGGGGAGGUUUGGCACCUCGAUGUCGGCUCAUCGCAUCCUGGGGCUGUAGUCGGUCCCAAGGGUUGGGCUGUUCGCCCAUUAAAGCGGUACGCGAGCUGGGUUCAGAACGUCGUGAGACAGUUCGGUCCCUAUCCGUCGUGGGCGUAGGAAAUUUGAGAGGAGCUGUCCUUAGUACGAGAGGACCGGGAUGGACACACCGCUGGUGUACCAGUUGUCUUGCCAAAGGCAUCGCUGGGUAGCUAUGUGUGGACGGGAUAAGUGCUGAAAGCAUCUAAGCAUGAAGCCCCCCUCAAGAUGAGAUUUCCCAUAGCGCAAGCUAGUAAGAUCCCUGAAAGAUGAUCAGGUUGAUAGGUCAGAGGUGGAAGCGUGGCGACAUGUGUAGCUGACUGAUACUAAUCGAUCGAGGACUUAACC
rnacentral:rRNA from 1 species